CAGCCGCCGCGGGAAUACGAAGGGGGCUAGCGUUGCUCGGAAUUACUGGGCGUAAAGGGCGCGUAGGCGGACAGUUCAGUCGGGGGUGAAAGCCCGGGGCUCAACCUCGGAAUUGCCUUCGAUACUGGCUGUCUUGAGUAUGAGAGAGGUGUGUGGAACUCCGAGUGUAGAGGUGAAAUUCGUAGAUAUUCGGAAGAACACCAGUGGCGAAGGCGACACACUGGCUCAUUACUGACGCUGAGGCGCGAAAGCGUGGGGAGCAAACAGGAUUAGAUACCCGGGUAGUCCCUGUCUCUUAUAC
rnacentral:rRNA from 1 species